ACUCACUCCCACUGACAUGCACCACAUGCUUUCAUAGACAGCACAGAAGCAACUGGUCAAAAUCUUCAAAUAGUUUUCGCACUUGUGGUAAGAAAACCCAUCCCUCCAUUUCUGCAGGGGUUUACAUUGAUUUUCUGACCAAAUAGACAAUGAAGGCACAAUAUUUCUUUUUUGCUGGUUCUAGUCUGGCCAAAAACCACUGAAGGGGUUGAAAUAGCAAAUGAAGUUUUGUCGCAUAUUGUGAACACCUUUACCAAUGUAGCAGCUGCAGGUAAUAGCAACCGGGGUGGUGGACAAUUCUCCUUCCUGAUUUGGUUAAGUGCAACCCAGUUCACUGGACAAGAUAGAAACUUGAAUUAUAUACCCAAUAAUAAUGGCCUCCCUUUAUUUGGCUCGGUCCAAUUCCUAUUCAACAACAAUUGCAACUACCUCGCUGUCUACCCCUCUACCACCAAAAGUAACUAUGGAAGGCAAUGUUCAGAGAGCAAGCUGCUGCACGGUCAACCCAGCGCCGCGAGACGAUUUCAGAUGUCAAUGAAUGCUCCUGGGCCAGGCUGCAUCAUUCUCUACACAACGUACACACCAUGCACCAGGACCUGCUUCAGUGAUGAUCAGAACUGCGCGAUUCUGCCAGCCUUAAGCGACGUGCCAUUUUCUGACCCUUGGAACAUAUCAAAUGACAUUCACAAGUAUUUUGUUUUCAGAAAGUUGUACAGAGAGGAUCAAAACCGCAUUCUUAAGGUCUGGGAGAAGUUUACAAAUGUUGCUAAUGUGGGCUUUCAAAUUUACAGGUGCAGGACGAAUAAUAACAGGUGUGAAAUAUGUCAAAAUUCCACCUGUCUGUCCUGAUAUAAGGCACAAGAAACCUGGCUAAGAUCUUUCUCUGUCACCGUGCUUUCAGCCAUCUUUCCUUCCCCAUUCCCCCAGGAACCCCCCACCUGUCUAGUUCCUUGGGAUGUCCUCCAAACGUGAAAGGCAUAAUAUCAAUGUGAUUUUUUGUUUACUGUCGAUCGGUGUGUAAACUGCUAGUGUGGGGCAACGGAGAGAGGAACUUACUCUGCUUAACAUGUGCAUGCAUUUUCAGGUUUAAAUCAUGAUCUGCUUUUAGUUUAAGAUGAAAUGUAACCAAAUGUAUGGAAAAUAAUGUGCAUAUUUAUAGUGGAUAAUGUAUCUUUCAUCACCAAUGACCACACUUGCCAUCAUUUCUGACAACAGUAACCUCAUGCUACAGUUCUAAUUCAAAACAAAUACAUUGGACAAUAUCCAAUAGCUAAACAGUCACAUUUUCUUCUCUUAUUGCCUGACGCCAUUGCCUUAUAUUCCUGGCCAAGAGAAAAUUGCGGAAAUAUUUGCUACAAAUUGUGGGGAAAUUUGACAAAUUUUGCAGAAAAUUGCAGGGGGUAGAUUGCUGCUUUUGAAAAGUACAUUUUACUGACAACCUAUAUUUUUUCCACUUUAUUGAUAAAAACUAAACUUGAAGAAAUAAAGCACUAUAAAUGCCUUCUUUAACAAAAACUGGGUGGUCCACUCACAUCAUUGACACAUACAGAACUUGUACAAAGGUGAGGGAAGCUUAUGGCCACAUAUGCAUACAGAAGUUACAAAAGAGAUUAAAUGAAAAAAGUUUGAUUGCUUCACUCUCAAAAGCCCUGGAAACCCAAUUAAUUAGAGAGGGUACAGCUCUUCAGUCUUGCAAGGAGAAUGUCGCAGAGAGGACCAGGGCUGGAAAAUUCUAAGUAGGACUGAAAAAGUAACCCAGAAUAAUAUUUUAAGAAAGGCCAAGGCAGAACAAGUGCACAGGUUCGAGGAUGGAAAGAGCAAUUUCAGGACAGAUACCAACAAGAUAAUUCACAACCGGUUACCAAGAAAGGCCAGAUGCUGGACUCAAUCAAGAAACAGCUUGAUGCUAUAAUAGGACGGUAAGAUGGAUGGUGUUUUGGAAGGAUGGCAUCAAAUAGAUUGAAUGGCUUUCUUCACUCAGCCUCUCGUGAUCCUGUGAAUGUUAUCAUGUUUUGCACUCUUCUAAUGUAGAAUAAUAAUAAUCUAAUAAUAAUAA